rnacentral:tRNA from 1 species
GCCCGAGUAGCUCAGCCGGUAGAGCAGCGCACUCGUAAUGCGCAGGUCAGCGGUUCGAAUCCGCUCUCGGGCU